rfam:Bombyx mori DNA, contig: Bm_scaf35_contig21056, strain: p50T/Dazao, build 2, whole genome shotgun sequence.
UUAACUCACAUUAGUAUGGAGUUGGGACGUUUGCCUGCGUUUGCCGCUAGGGGCGCUGUUCCAACUCCAUACAAAUAUGAGUUA